UGCAAUCCAAAUUGCUAUCGAAUUUCAUUCAAACUUUAUUCUGUAUUCAACGAACGGAUACCUCCAUAAUCCCCAAUCGAAAUAUCCCUCGUUUCCCACGCUUCGAAUUUGAGCAUACCCCCUAGCAGUUUUGCUACUUUUGCCUAUUAUAGCUGCUGUCCCUUUCUCCUUCGAAUCCCAAUUUUCCACCAGGUGUUUGUUUCCAAUUUUUCUCAAGGCACGCGUCCAUUGGGUUGAACAUUUUUUUCCUCGUUAAAGGCGGCGUUUUCUGCCACCUUUUUUCUGGUAUGUGCUGAAUCUCCCCGUCUGUUUGAUUUUGUUGGUAAAUUCUUAUCGGAAUUUUGGCUUCUCUUUUUUUUGCCCCCUCAAAAUUCUCAUGGGUGAUUGAUUAAUAUGUCGUUUUGAAAUAAAUACCUUAUUCUGUGCAGAUUUUUGGCUAUUGCAAGGGCAUCUAGGUAGGCAUUGGAUCCUUUUAUUUUCUUGGGAAGGGUGGUUGGGUUUGUUGGACGAAAGGAUCAAAUGCUGUUUUCUGAUUAAAAACUUUACGUUUAUUAUAAAACCUUUGUCUGAAAAUAUGGGUUAAUUGAUUGGAACAUUUGGUGUUUUAAUGUGUGCGAAAUUUGCAAGUUUCAGAGGGUUUUGAUGAUAUCUUGUAGUGAAUCUCUCUAUAGGCGCUUGUCGCACUAGUCUAUUGGUGAAGUUCUUUAUACAGUACAUGGGCUGUUUUAAUUCUAAGGCAAGAAGGCAGUUUCCUGGACAUGAAGACCCCAUUUUGCUUGCUUCCCAAACAGCUUGUAAGCUUGUUUCUUUUGUUUUUUAAUUGUUAAUUUUGGAUAAAUGUUGAAUCUCUUUCAUUUCUAAUUCAGAAAGACUUGGUGUUUUAGGUUCAUGAUAAAACGUGAGUUUGCCAUGCUAACACACAAGUAAAGUAAUUUUUAGCAAGGAUAUAGAUUUUAUCUGGGCGGGAGUGCAAAUGUUACGAAAUUGAUUUAAAGCAAGACAUUUGCUGAUUUACUUAGUUUAUCAAGUCGAAAUAAUGUAUUUUCUUAGAUAUGAGGCAUGGGUAGCUGAGGUUGUCUAUAGUUGGUUUGUCAUGUGUCAUUCUUUUUCUGGCUCGGAUCUUGGAUGGAAAUUGACUUUAUAUGAAUAAACGAAUUGUUUGAUGGCCUCUUUUUUGUUACUCUCUCUCUCAUCUUGGGUUUUGCAUGAUCUAAAGAUAUAUUUCUUUGUUCUAGCUUUCUUCAUUCUUCGUUUUUAACUUAACUUUCUAUUUUUUUUUUCUUUUUUCCUUUUUUAAGUUUUGAAAAUGCUUCUGUUUGUGUCUAUAUAUAGUUGAAAAUUGCAGAGAUAAUUUAUGCGCUACCCUACUUUUUCAUUUAAUUUUGCAUAUAAAAUGCACCAAGCCAUUGAGGCAGUCAUUUAUUUGCUUAUCAUUCAGGAUUGUUGUUUUAUUUGCGUUUUUUGUGAUGUUGUUGAUUAUGUAUUAAUAAAAAAACUAAUAAACCUGUUCUUUCUUUUGCAGUUAGUGUUAGUGAAGUUGAAGCACUAUAUGAAUUGUAUAAGAGCAUUAGUGGCUCUGUGAUUGAUGAUGGCCUAAUAAAUAAGGUGAUUUUCACUGAACAUCAACCAAGCUCAAGCUGCCUUGUUCAUUUCAUGUGAUGUUUCACUGUAAUUUUUGGUUAUCAAGCUUCUUGUUUCUGGCAUUUCUUUUAUCAUGAGAAUAUAUUGCACAUUGGUUUUUGGAAGAUUUCGUGACUCUAUGACUUACAUGAAGUAAAUGCAAUUGCAAUACUCUCUUGCAAUUUUUCC
rnacentral:lncRNA from 1 species